rnacentral:misc_RNA from 1 species
AGAAUGCUCUACAGUCCAUGAAGAUGUGGAGCUGGCCAACGGUUUUCCUCUGGUACCUAGUUCUUGGGAGCUUGCUGUAGAACAGAACCAUGUUGACAGUAUAGUUGAAGAAAAUAAUUCAUUGGGUCAUGACCACGAGGCGAAAGAGCCGUCUGUGGAGGAGCGAUGCGAACUAUUAAGUGAAGUGUGCAUGGAUGUUCCAGAUGUGAACGAAAACUUGAACGGAAGUGAUGUGAGUAAAGUUGAAUCAGAAGGCAAUGGUAACUGUAAAAUCUCCUCGGAAGAAAAUGGUGCUGGUAAUGUUAAAUCAGUAGAGAAGCCACGUUCACAAAGCAGCAUAGCGGCAGGGAAGACUGGAGGUGGAACAGCGUAUCUGCGACGGGGAAGACGAAGAAACUGAGGUGGGGGAAAUAAAACGUAGUUUGUUUUGAAUUUUUGUGCAGAACCAAACAUUGAACAUAAAACUUUUGACCAUAGCUAAAGCAAGGCGGUUGUAGUUUGAUUAGUUGUGUAUGGAUUUGUAUAGAGCUAGAUCAUAGAAUCAGCUUGAAUAAGCGACAACACCGAAGAAGCUUUGUGUAUUU